rnacentral:ncRNA from 1 species
AACCCGACCUCAUGAAGCCGGAAUCACUAGUAAUCGCGGGUCAGCCACACCGCGGUGAAUACGUUCUCAAGCCUUGUACUCGGGUCGUCAUGCGAUCGAGUACGCUAGUUGGUGUAAGUCCAACCGCGACAGUUCAUAGUGUCGCGAAGCGAAAUCACAGUAUGCGAAGGCGACUUCGCAUGUGAAGGGUGAAAGU